rnacentral:rRNA from 1 species
UACGGGGGGUGCGAGCGUUGUCCGGAAUCACUGGGCGUAAAGGGUGCGUAGGCGGCGCGGUAAGUCGGGUGUGAAAUCUUGGAGCUUAACUCCGAAACUGCAUUCGAUACUGCCGUGCUUGAGGACUGGAGAGGAGACUGGAAUUUACGGUGUAGCGGUGAAAUGCGUAGAUAUCGUAAGGAAGACCAGUGGCGAAGGCGGGUCUCUGGACAGUUCCUGACGCUGAGGAGCGAAAGCGUGGGGAGCAAACAGG